rnacentral:rRNA from 1 species
UGGGGAAUAUUGCACAAUGGGCGCAAGCCUGAUGCAGCCAUGCCGCGUGUGUGAAGAAGGCCUGAGGGUUGUAAAGCACUUUCAGUGGGGAGGAGGAUUGAUUGGUUAAGAGCUGAUUGAUUGGACGUUACCCACAGAAGAAGCACCGGCUAACUCCGUGCCAGCAGCCGCGGUAAUACGGAGGGUGCAAGCGUUAAUCGGAAUUACUGGGCGUAAAGGGUGCGUAGGUGGUUAGAUAAGUUAUCUGUAAAAUCCCCGGGCUCAACCUGGGCAGGUCAGAUAAGACUGUUUGACUCGAGUAUGGGAGAGGGUAGUGGAAUUUCCGGUGUAGCGGUGAAAUGCGUAGAGAUCGGAAGGAACACCAGUGGCGAAGGCGGCUACCUGGCCUAAUACUGACACUGAGGCACGAAAGCGUGGGGAGCAAACA